GCAACGGUCAUGCUGGAGACUGGGACGAU
rnacentral:sRNA from 1 species